UACGGAGGGUGCGAACGUUAAUCGGAAUCACUGGGCGUAAAGCGCGCGUAGGCGGUUUGUUAAGUGGGAUGUGAAAUCCCCGGGCUUAACCUGGGAAUUGCAUUUCAAACUGGCCGACUAGAGUACGGUAGAGGGAGGUAGAAUUUCCUGUGUAGCGGUGAAAUGCGUAGAUAUAGGAAGGAAUACCAGUGGCGAAGGCGGCUACCUGGACCGGUUCUGACGCUGAUGCGCGAAAGCGUGGGUAGCAAACAGG
rnacentral:rRNA from 1 species